rnacentral:rRNA from 1 species
GACGUAGGGGGCGAGCGUUGUCCGGAUUUAUUGGGCGUAAAGAGCUCGUAGGCGGUUAGUCACGUCGGCUGUGAAAACCUGGGGCUCAACUCCGGGCCUGCACCCGAUACGGGCGGGCUAGAGUUCGGUAGGGGAGACUGGAAUUCCUGGUGUAGCGGUGAAAUGCGCAGAUAUCAGGAGGAACACCGGUGGCGAAGGCGGGUCUCUGGGCCGAUACUGACGCUGAGGAGCGAAAGCGUGGGGAGCGAACAGG